rnacentral:rRNA from 1 species
UACAGAGGGUGCAAGCGUUAAUCGGAAUUACUGGGCGUAAAGCGUGCGCAGACGGUUGCGUAAGUCAGAUGUGAAAGCCCCGGGCUCAACCUGGGAAUUGCAUUUGAGACUGCGUAGCUAGGGUGCGGAAGAGGGAAGCGGAAUUUCCGGUGUAGCGGUGAAAUGCGUAGAUAUCGGAAGGAACACCAGUGGCGAAAGCGGCUUCCUGGUCCAGCACCGACGUUCAGGCACGAAAGCGUGGGGAGCGAAACAGG